rnacentral:rRNA from 1 species
AGAGCGAACGCUGGCGGCAGGCCUAAUACAUGCAAGUCGAGCGGCCCUUCGGGGCAGCGGCGGACGGGUGAGUAACGCGUGGGAAUGUGCCCUUUGGUACGGAACAACUGAGGGAAACUUCAGCUAAUACCGUAUGUGCCCUUCGGGGGAAAGAUUUAUUGCCAUUGGAGCAGCCCGCGUUGGAUUAGCUAGUUGGUGGGGUAAAGGCCCACCAAGGCGACGAUCCAUAGCUGGUCUGAGAGGAUGAUCAGCCACACUGGGACUGAGACACGGCCCAGACUCCUACGGGAGGCAGCAGUAGGGAAUCUUGCGCAAUGGGCGAAAGCCUGACGCAGCCAUGCCGCGUGAAUGAUGAAGGUCUUAGGAUUGUAAAAUUCUUUCACCGGGGAAGAUAAUGACGGUACCCGGAGAAGAAGCCCGCUAACUCGUGCCAGCAGCCGC